rnacentral:rRNA from 1 species
GAGUUUGAUUAUGGCUCAGGACAAACGCUGGCGGCGUGCAUAACACAUGCAAGUCGAACGAAAUCUACAUGAUUUAGUGGCGAACGGGUGAGUAACACGUGAGAAACCUGCCUUACACAGAGGGAUAGCCGUUGGAAACGACGAUUAAUACCUCAUGACACCGUGACAUCGCAUGAUGAUGCGGUCAAAGAUUUAUCGGUGUAAGAUGGUCUCGCGCCUGAUUAGCUGGUUGGUGGGGUAACGGCCUACCAAGGCGACGAUCAGUAGCCGAUCUGAGAGGGUGGACGGCCACAUUGGGACUGAGACACGGCCCAAACUCCUACGGGAGGCAGCAGUGGGGAAUUUUGCACAAUGGGGGAAACCCUGAUGCAGCGACGCCGCGUGAACGAAGAAGGCCUUCGGGUUGUAAAGUUCUGUCCCUUGGUGAAGAUAAUGACCGUACCAGNAGAG